AUGACCCUUUCCUGCGCCAGAGGCUAACACAGAAGGGUAAAGCCAGUCUCCUUAAAACCCAAAGAAGAGAUUGUAAAACUUCUCUUUGGAUCCUGUCUGGAGUCACAGCU
ensembl:snoRNA